GAGUCGUUAGCUCAGUUGGUAGAGCAUCUCCCUUUUAAGGAGAGGGUCUCGGGUUCGAGCCCCGGACGACUCA
rnacentral:tRNA from 1 species